UACGUAGGCAGCAAGCGUUGUUCGGAAUUACUGGGCGUAAAGAGUGUGUAGGCGGUGCUCUAAGUCUGUUGUGAAAUCUCCCGGCUUAACCGGGAGGGUGCGGCGGAAACUGGAGUGCUUGAGGGUGGGAGAGGAAAGUGGAAUUCCUGGUGUAGCGGUGAAAUGCGCAGAUAUCAGGAAGAACACCAAUGGCGAAAGCAGCUUUCUGGGACGGUACUGACGCUGAGACGCGAAAGCGUGGGGAGCGAACAGG
rnacentral:rRNA from 1 species